UAUAUAUAUAUAUAUAUAUAUAUAUAUAUAUGUGUUGAAACACGUGGUUGGAUGUACAAAAGAUAAAGUAGAAUGUAAAAACUACCGAAGAUUUGUGUUAUAUGGUUAAAGAAUGUAUUUAAAUCGUUAUAUAAGAAAAAUGUUACAAAAUUUUGUGUAUAAUAACAUUUUGGA